rnacentral:lncRNA from 1 species
ACCUAUAGCAUACACUAUCAGAAUGUGCACAGAUUUGAGCACAACAUCAGAGUGCCCACAAUUGAGGCAUACUGAACAUUUGACAUGAGCUCCUUUAUUUAUUAACAUGAGGACUUGAGAUUUAACAAUUUAUAGUGCAAAUUAAACCUACUCAACAAACACAUACUAAAUGUAGGCUUUGAAACCAACCAAAUAUGCCUCUAUAUCUAUCACGAAGAAUCUCAAUCCCUAAACCAGAAUGGGAGCCUUACUUAGAUUCUUUACCCAAAGUGACAUGACAGCAUGUAAUGUCUCAAACAAUUGGUCAAUGUCUAUGACUGCUAAUUCAAUAUCAUAAAAAAUGUAAAACAUCCGAAA